AGCUGCUGUGGCCCCAAGCCACUUCUCCGGGGAAGACACCCUAGCCCCACUGGAGGCCACCACUGGGCACCUCUCAAACUCUGAGCCCGACGAAGGGAUGUGUCCUGAGCAGUGGGCCCAACGGCACCCAGGUAGCCUGGUCCUCCUAGGAGAGAGCACUGGAGAGGGAGUCCAGCGGCCAUCUUUGUAAAGUCUGUAUCUUUCUGAACUUCAGUCUCUUCCACAUCCACACACCAGGAUCACAGGCAGGAGACGUGCCCGGUCUUCAGAGGCCACAAACCGUAACCAGUCAUAUCCUUCCAGUGGGGGCAAAGCUCUGUCCUUUUCCCACCGCGUCCCAGCCCUCGGCACAGGGCCUGGUGCGUGUGAGGGGCUCAGUAAACGCCGGCUGGAUUAACGGGUUGGCAAGUGAAUGAAUGAGAGUCUGGGUAUGUCGUCUAGUUCAACCAUUCAAUCCAACGUGGUAUCGCGAAGGGCCUACUACGUGCCAGGAGCUGGGCAGGCCACCGAGGAAACUCACAAAUAGCAAGACGGGAUUUCUUACCCUUCCGAGCUCAUGGUGUAAGAGCAGAGCAACCUGUCGUCAGGGCCCGUGUGUGUAUUCCUGAGUAUCCCGUCUACUGAACUUGACUCUCAACCCUGGGCCGCUGCUCAGUGUCUGCGGCGGCUGAACUCUGAACUCUAGGGCAGCCCCACGAUCCUUCCUCCUGGCGUUCACACCCUUGUGUGAUCCCCUCCCCUGGAGUGCGGACAGGGCUACGAUUUGCUUCUAACCAACCGACUGUGGCAAACGGGACGGGGUGUACAUAGUCACGCGUAUGUGACUCUGUUAUAUACCUCCUUCUCGUGAAGAGGCUCCGUCUCCCUUGCUGGCUUUGACGAGGCAGAGAGCCAUGCUGGGGAAGGAACGGAGGGAGGCUCGCCCCCGACACCCAGCAGGGAAAUGAGGCGCUUGGUCUGAUCACAGCGAGGAACUGAAUUCUGCCAGCAAUUGUGGGAGCUUAGAAGUAGACUCUUCCCCAGUCAAGCCUCAGCUGAGACUACAGCUCCAGCCAACACUUUGUCACCUUGUGAGACCCUGGGCUGGUAUUUAAGCCGAGCCCAUAUUCCCGAGCCACAGAAACUGACGGCCAGCCAGAAGGCCCAGAAGCCACCAGGCAAGAAGCACCCCCAGGAGAUGCAGGCACCCAGCCUUUCCGGCUUUGCAGAGGCGUGGCCAAUGUGUCCCAAUAACCACCUCCACCUCCAUUUUUAUUCUGCUGAGUUAUGCAGAGUCAGUUUCUGUGGCUUGAAACUGAAGAAUCCCAGCCUCCUUGUAUGGUCUUUCUAGAAGGAGGAGCCGGCCAAGAACCAUUGCUGUCCCACUAGGGAAAGUCUCUUUAGUUGGAGACUUGAGAAAAGAGAGGUCGUGAUGUAAUGUGUGCCUUCGUGCUGGUCACAGUCAGAAAACCUUGAAAAGCCGCUGCCUCCGACGAUGUGCCCUUCGUUCACCAGCAGGGGCAAGACAGCUGGCACGGAAGGAGCUUCCUGUCUGCCUGGGCUCCCUGCUCACACACCCCGACCAAAGGCUCGGGCCACACCCAGCUGGGGGCCCCCACCCCGGCAACCGCACAGCGCCCAGCACACCUCUCCGUCCUCCAGGUUCCCUUUUCUUUCAGCCUCACGCCCGCCCAACCCUGCCUUCACUCCGGGAGGCCCUGUCGAAAUGACACUUCCUCUGGCCAUCAACCCACAGGGGGCCAGGCAGGCUGUCCCCUUCCGCUGCUGGCCAUCCCACAGUCUGCUGGAGCGCAGCACUCUCACCCUGCAAGUCAACUGCUCC